rnacentral:tRNA from 1 species
GUGGCUUUAGUUUAGUGGUAAGAAUUCCAGGUUGUGGCCGUGGAGACUUGGGCUUGAAUACCAGUAGCCACA